ACUGCUAUCGGAUUGGUACUAAGCCAUGCGAGUCGUUGUAGCAAUACAAGGCGGACGGCUCAGUAACACGUAGUCAACCUUAACCUUAUGGACGUGGAUAACCUCGGGAAACUGAGAAUAAACCGCGAUAGAUCAUAAUGCCUUGGAAUGGCUUAUGGUUCAAAUAAUUUUAUUGCCGUAGGAUGGGACUGCGGGCCUAUCAGCUUGUUGGGUGAGGGUAAUGGCCCCACCAAGGCUAUAACAGGUACGGGCUCUGAGAGGAGAAGCCCGGAGACGGGUACUGAGACACGGACCCAGGCCCUAUGGGGCGCAGCAGGCGAGAAACCUUAGCAAUGUGCGAAAGCACGACUAGGUUAAUCCGAGUGAUUUCUGUUGAAGAAAUCUUUUGUCAGUCGUAAAACCACAGACGAAUAAGGGGUGGGCAAGUCUGGUGUCAGCCGCCGCGGUAAUACCAGCACCUCGAGUGGUAAGGAGGUUUAUUGGGCCUAAAGCAUCCGUAGCCGGCUUUGCAAGUCUCCGGUUAAAUCCAACUGCUCAACAGAUGGGCUGCCGGAGAUACUACACAGCUAGGGAGCGGGAGAGGCAGACGGUAUUCGGUGGGUAGGGGUAAAAUCCACUGAUCCAUCGAGGACCACCAGUGGCGAAGGCGGUCUGCCAGAACGCGUUCGACGGUGAGGGAUGAAAGCUGGGGGAGCAAACCGGAUUAGAUACCCGGGUAGUCCCGGCUGUAAACGAUGCAAACUCGGUGAUGCAUUGGCUUAUGGCCAAUGCAGUGCCGCAGGGAAGCCGUUAAGUUUGCCGCCUGGGAAGUACGGACGCAAGUCUGAAACUUAAAGGAAUUGGCGGGGGAGCACCACAAGGGGUGAAGCCUGCGGUUCAAUUGGAUUCAACGCCGG
rnacentral:rRNA from 1 species